GGGAUGUUCAAUUCUGGCCACAGGGGGGAGCAGAUGCUUCAGACGGCACUUCCUCAUUCCAGGUUGUAAAUUAGUUAAACUUGCCUCCCCACUUUUUUUAUAAGUGGUACCUUAUUUCCUACUUGAUAGAUGCAACUAUCUUUUGGGUUGCUAGGUCAGCAACGAGCAGGGGCUAUUUUUAAAUACUGUAAAUAAAAAAUAAAUAAAUAACAUCAGUGUCUUUGACAUUUGCCGGAGGAGGGCAAUCAGGCAGGACGGAGGAGCCGGUCGGUCGGAGGAGGAGUCGGGCCUGCAUGGCUGCCUGGAGGGAGAAGCUGGCCUGGAUGCUGGAUGUCAUGGAGGGCCUGGAAGUGUCCAAGAGGAUGAUGCCUCCAGGAGGAUCCUGUUAUGAAUUUUGCCUGGUAUUGAUGUGAGGCUGACCGGACGGUAAUUGUUUGGGUCGUUCUUUUUUCCCUUCUUGAAGAUAGGGACCACAUUCG
rnacentral:lncRNA from 11 species